GAGGGAAACCGAGUCUUAAUUGGGCGUUAAGUUGCAGGGUAUAGACCCGAAACCCGGUGAUCUAGCCAUGGGCAGGUUGAAGGUUGGGUAACACUAACUGGAGGACCGAACCGACUAAUGUUGAAAAAUUAGCGGAUGACCUGUGGCUGGGGGUGAAAGGCCAAUCAAACCGGGAGAUAGCUGGUUCUCCCCGAAAGCUAUUUAGGUAGCGCCUCGUGAAUUCAUCUCCGGGGGUAGAGCACUGUUUCGGCUAGGGGGCCAUCCCGGCUUACCAACCCGAUGCAAACUGCGAAUACCGGAGAAUGUUAUCACGGGAGACACACGGCGGGUGCUAACGUCCGUCGUGAAGAGGGAAACAACCCAGACCGCCAGCUAAGGUCCCAAAGUCAUGGUUAAGUGGGAAACGAUGUGGGAAGGCCCAGACAGCCAGGAUGUUGGCUUAGAAGCAGCCAUCAUUUAAAGAAAGCGUAAUAGCUCACUGGUCGAGUCGGCCUGCGCGGAAGAUGUAACGGGGCUAAACCAUGCACCGAAGCUGCGGCAGCGACGCUUAUGCGU
rnacentral:rRNA from 1 species